UGACAUGUAGCUCAAUUGGAUAGAGCGCAACGCUACGGACGUUGGUGUUGCAGGUUCGAGUCCUGUCAUGUCAG
rnacentral:tRNA from 1 species